GUCCGCCUAAUGGCUUUGUCUGGCUCCGCGCCGGCGCAGGGAACUUUGGGGGCGAGGAUAGGUCGGGCCGCCCUGUCCCCUCUGGGCCAGAGUCGUUGAGCAACUCGGGCAAGCACCUAGGACUCCAGCAGGAGAGCUAGGCCACUAGCUAGCUGCCUUGGGCUUUUCCUGCAAGUAGCCUCCACCCACCACAGCUGCUGGGACUGCGCGGAUCACUGAAGAUCCCAGAGAUGGCAGAUGCCAGAGAAACCAGAACCCUGCAAGAGCUACGGGAUACCUUUCCGGAGUAGUUCCAGAAGAGCAGGGAGGACACAGAAAGAAACCAGGAUGGGUCCACAAGGGCUACGCGAGUGCCUCCCGCAGGCUAGCCUCGGCUCCACCUGCGAAGGGGCGUGACCUUGUGACGUUGGACCAAUCAGCGGCUACCUGAGCGCACCUGGCCUCCUCCCGCGGGCUCCUGCGAGCCGCGGUGCUCAAAACUGUACCAGGCUCUUAGCCCUACCGUCGCGGCAGCCUCUUCACUUCCCUCCAGUCAUGGGACUCCUUAGUGGGUCUCUCGCCUCCCUGCUCCUCCUGCUUCAGAGGCAGGUUUGCUGGCUACCAAGCGUGGCCUCCGAACCCUACCCAGUGCACUUCGGGGAGGCUGAAGUGACCUUGGAGACGGGAGGAACUGAGCUGGAGCCCAGCCAAACGCUGGGGAAAGGUAAGACCCUCCUGGAGCCAGCGGAAGAUCUCACUUGGUCUGCUUUGCUGUGACCCUCCGGUGGGGUGUCUGGACCAGAGCUGGGGACAUCUGGAGCCACAUCCCGGGAAGGCGCAGAAAGUGGCUCCCGGGCUGGGAUGGACUCGGGAAGGCUGAGCAACGGUGCACCCACCCAAGUCCAGCUCCUUGCGCAGCAGCCGCUGCUUGUCUUGACCUCCUAGUGCCUGGCGGCUGAGCCCCUCACCCAGCCCCGACGUGGAAAACAUCUCCCGCGCCGGCCACAGGCGAGGAAUGCGCAGUGCACAUUCCUCCCAAAACCCCCUCGCAGGUGUGGGGAUGAGCGGUGCCCCGGGCAGCCCCCUUCGCCCUUCUCGGCCCCCCUUUGUGAACCGUGCUUUGUGUCUCCGACAGACAGACCGGGUCUGUUUCUCUUCUCUGGGCUGCCCUCCCCACCCCCCUUCUUCCCGGGCUGGAAUGCGCUCUUAACCCUGCCCUUCCCGGAGGGCCUGAGCCCCUGCAGGCUGCCUGCGAAUGGCCUGGCACACCUGGGCAGAGGCCAUCACGCACAGGGGACACACUAGGUCCCGCACUCCGAGCAUCUUGGUAGUAGGAUGUUAGAUCA